AGUGAACGCUGGCGGUAGGCCUAACACAUGCAAGUCGAACGGCAGCACAGUAAGAGCUUGCUCUUACGGGUGGCGAGUGGCGGACGAGUGAGGAAUACAUCGGAAUCUACUUUUUCGUGGGGGAUAACGUAGGGAAACUUACGCUAAUACCGCAUACGACCUACGGGUGAAAGCAGGGGAUCUUCGGACCUUGCGCGAUCGAAUGAGCCGAUGUCGGAUUAGCUAGUUGGCGGGGUAAAGGCCCACCAAGGCGACGAUCCGUAGCUGGUCUGAGAGGAUGAUCAGCCACACUGGAACUGAGACACGGUCCAGACUCCUACGGGAGGCAGCAGUGGGGAAUAUUGGACAAUGGGCGCAAGCCUGAUCCAGCCAUACCGCGUGGGUGAAGAAGGCCUUCGGGUUGUAAAGCCCUUUUGUUGGGAAAGAAAAGCAGCAGGUUAAUACCCCGCUGUUCUGACGGUACCCAAAGAAUAAGCACCGGCUAGCUUCGUG
rnacentral:rRNA from 1 species